GUCCACAGGGAUUGAAGAAUAAGUUAUUUUUCUUUUAAAAAUAAAUCAAGAAGAAGGAUUUGCUAACUUGAUUUAACUAAAUUAAUCUAUGAAUACGAAUUGAAAGUAGAUAGAUCUAGGGUUUGGAAUCCACCGCAUAGCAUUGCAUUAGGGACUGUGAUCUUAAUUUUAUCUUUUGGAAAGGCAUGCAAAUUGGCUACAAGCCUUCUAAAAUAAA
rnacentral:lncRNA from 1 species